AGAGCACUCCUACGGGAGGCAGCAGUGGGGAAUAUUGGACAAUGGGCGAAAGCCUGAUCCAGCCAUGCCGCGUGUGUGAAGAAGGCCUUCGGGUUGUAAAGCACUUUCAGCGAGGAAGAACGCUUGUGGGUUAAUACCCCGCAAGAAGGACAUCACUCGCAGAAGAAGCACCGGCUAACUCCGUGCCAGCAGCCGCGGUAAUACGGAGGGUGCAAGCGUUAAUCGGAAUUACUGGGCGUAAAGCGCGCGUAGGCGGCUUGAUAAGCCGGUUGUGAAAGCCCCGGGCUCAACCUGGGAACGGCAUCCGGAACUGUCAGGCUAGAGUGCAGGAGAGGAAGGUAGAAUUCCCGGUGUAGCGGUGAAAUGCGUAGAGAUCGGGAGGAAUACCAGUGGCGAAGGCGGCCUUCUGGACUGACACUGACGCUGAGGUGCGAAAGCGUGGGUAGCAAACAGGAUUAGAUACCCUGGUAG
rnacentral:rRNA from 1 species